GCCUUCGUGGUGUAGUGGUCUGCAUGCUGGGCUCGGAUUCCAGAGGUUCAUGGUUCGAUUCCAGGCGAAGGCG